rnacentral:rRNA from 1 species
AGCAGCCGCGGUAAUUCCAGCUCCAAUAGCGUAUAUUAAAGUUGUUGCAGUUAAAAAGCUCGUAGUUGAAUUUCGGGAUCAAUUAAUUGGUCGUGCCUCUGGUACGUACUGAUUUUAUUGGUUCCUCCCUUCUGACGAACCAUGAUGUCAUUAAUUUGGUGUCGUGGAGAAUCAGGACUGUUACUUUGAAAAAAUUGAGUGUUUAAAGCAAGCUAACGCUCGAAUACAUUAGCAUGGAAUAAUGAAAUAGGACGUUUGAUCCUAUUUUGUUGGUUUCUAGGAUCGACGUAAUGAUUAAUAGGGAUAGUUGGGGGCAUUAGUAUUCAAUUGUCAGAGGUGAAAUUCUUGGAUUUAUUGAAGACUAACUACUGCGAAAGCAUUUGCCAAGGAUGUUUUCAUUAAUCAGUGAACGAAAGUUAGGGAUCGAAGACGAUCAGAUACCGUCGUAGUCUUAACAUAAACUAUAGCCGACUAGGGAUCGGGCGAUGUUAUCUUUUUGACUCGCUCGGCUAACCG